UACGUAGGGUGCGAGCGUUGUCCGGAAUUAUUGGGCGUAAAGGGGCUCGUAGGCGGUUUGUCGCGUCGGGAGUGAAAUCCACUGGCUUAACUGGUGGCUUGCUUUCGAUACGGGCAGACUGGAGGUAUGCAGGGGAGAACGGAAUUCCUGGUGUAGCGGUGAAAUGCGCAGAUAUCAGGAGGAACACCAAUGGCGAAGGCAGAUCUCUGGGCCGUAACUGACGCUGAGGAGCGAAAGCAUGGGGAGCGAACAGG
rnacentral:rRNA from 1 species